rnacentral:sRNA from 1 species
ACACCCGGAAGCAGGGGCCCGAGCGGAGCCGGCCGCGAUGAGCGGGGAGUCGGGGCAGACGUUCGUAGCGCCCCCUCCCGAGGAGGUCGAGCCGGGCAGUGGGGUCCGCAUCGUGGUGGAGUACUGGUGAGCGGCCCCGGCUGGAGGACCCCCACCCUGGUCCCGCGGGCCGGACGGAGGUGCCUUUGAGAUAGAGAUAAAUGGACAGCUGGUGUUCUCCAAGCUGGAGAAUGGGGGCUUUCCCUAUGAGAAAGAUCUCAUUGAGGCCAUCCGAAGAGCCAGUAAUGGAGAACCCCUAGAAAAGAUCACCAACAGCCGUCCUCCCUGCGUCAUCCUGUGACUGCACAGGACUCUGGGUUCCUGCUCUGUUCUGGGGUCCAAACCUUGGUCUCCCUUUGGUCCUGCUGGGAGCUUCCCCUGUCUCUUUGACCUACUUAGCUCCUUAGCAAAGAGACCCUGGCCUCCACUUUGCCCCUUUGGGUACAAGGAAGGAAUAGAAGAUUCCGUGGCCUUGGGGGCAGGAGAGACACUCUCCAUGGACACUUCCCCAGCCACCUCAUACCCCCUUCCCAGGAUAAGUGCCCACGAAAGCCCAGUCCACUCCUCACCUCAGUAAUACCUGUUUGAUGCACAGAUUUUAUUUAUUCUCCCCUAACCCAGGGCAGUGUCAGCUAUUGGCAGUAAAGUGGCACUACAAACACUAA